UACGUAGGGGGCAAGCGUUGUCCGGAUUUAUUGGGCGUAAAGCGCACGCAGGCGGUCUCUUAAGUUUCGAGUGACAGGUGGUGGCUCAACUGCCACAGGCCUUGGAAAACUGGGAGACUUGAGGACUUCAGAGGGAUGCGGAAUUCCAGGUGGAGCGGUGAAAUGCGUAGAGAUCGGGAAGAACAUCGGUGGCGAAAGCGCUCUGCUGGACUGCAACUGACACUCAGGGACGAAAGCUAGGGGAGCGAAUGGG
rnacentral:rRNA from 1 species